rnacentral:rRNA from 1 species
GACGAACGCUGGCGGCGUGCUUAACACAUGCAAGUCGAGCGGUAAGGCCCUUUCGGGGGUACACGAGCGGCGAACGGGUGAGUAACACGUGGGUGACCUGCCUUUAGCUCUGGGAUAAGCCUGGGAAACCGGGUCUAAUACCGGAUAUGACUCCGCGGCGCAUGUUGUGGGGUGGAAAGCCUUGUGCGGCUGGAGAUGGGCCCGCGGCCUAUCAGCUUGUUGGUGGGGUGAUGGCCUACCAAGGCGACGACGGGUAGCCGGCCUGAGAGGGCGACCGGCCACACUGGGACUGAGACACGGCCCAGACUCCUACGGGAGGCAGCAGUGGGGAAUCUUGCGCAAUGGGCGAAAGCCUGACGCAGCGACGCCGCGUGAGGGAUGACGGCCUUGGU